UCCUACGGGAGGCAGCAGUGGGGAAUUUUCCGCAAUGGGCGAAAGCCUGACGGAGCAAGACCGCGUGAGGGAGGAAGGCUCUUGGGUCGUAAACCUCUUUUGUCAGGGAAGAACACAAUGACGGUACCUGAGGAAUCAGCAUCGGCUAACUCCGUGCCAGCAGCCGCGGUAAUACGGAGGAGGCAAGCGUUAUCCGGAAUUAUUGGGCGUAAAGCGUCCGCAGGUGGCACUUCAAGUCUGCGGUCAAAGACCGGGGCUUAACCCUGGAAAGGCAGUGGAAACUGACGAGCUAGAGAGCAGUAGGGGUAGAGGGAAUUCCCGGUGUAGCGGUGAAAUGCGUAGAGAUCGGGAAGAACAUCGGUGGCGAAAGCGCUCUACUGGACCGCAACUGACACUCAGGGACGAAAGCUAGGGGAGCGAAUGGGAUUAGAUACCCCAGUAGUCCUAGCCGUAAACGAUGGAUACUAGGUGUGGCUUGUAUCGACCCGAGCCGUGCCGUAGCUAACGCGUUAAGUAUCCCGCCUGGGGAGUAC
rnacentral:rRNA from 1 species